rnacentral:rRNA from 1 species
AACCUCCGCAAUGUGAGAAAUCGCGACGGGGGGAUCCCAAGUGCCAUUCUUAACGGGAUGGCUUUUCAUUAGUGUAAAGAGCUUUUGGAAUAAGAGCUGGGCAAGACCGGUGCCAGCCGCCGCGGUAACACCGGCAGCUCUAGUGGUAACAAUUUUUAUUGGGCCUAAAGCGUCCGUAGCCGGUUUAAUAAGUCUCUGGUGAAAUCCUGCAGCUUAACUGUGGGAAUUGCUGGAGAUACUAUUAGACUUGAGACCGGGAGAGGUUAGAGGUACUCCCAGGGUAGAGGUGAAAUUCUGUAAUCCUGGGAGGACCGCCUGUUGCGAAGGCGUCUAACUGGAACGGUUCUGACGGUGAGGGACGAAAGUUAGGGGCGCGAACCGGAUUAGGUACCCGGGUAGUCCUAACUGUAAACGAUGCGGACUUGGUGUUGGGUGGCUUUGAGCUGCUUCAGUGCCGAAGGGAAGCUGUUAAGUCCGCCGCCUGGGAAGUACGGUCGCAAGACUGAAACUUAAAGGAAUU